CCCUCUCUCAAUUUUAAUCACAACUGUCGACUCAUGUGGUCGACGCUUGAGAUUAAAUCUCAUUUUCUUAUAAAUAGUACCUCAAAACCUUAAAUCACUUUUGACAAUAACAAGCCGCACACCCCACUAUUCUUUCCAUCUUCUUUUUUUUUUUCUUUCUCUAAAAUAGAUCUCCGCUAACAGUCUUUAUCGAUGAAUUUUCAAUCGGCUCCGACUCUCCAUAACAUCGUCGGUGAGUCCUUCACCAUCUUUGACCGCCCGCCAGCUAGAGCAACAACGUCACCAUCAGCCGCCCAAUUGCCUCCCCCUCUUCUUUACCCACCUCUCUUUUUUUGCCGCUCACAGCCACACCAACAACCCCAUUGUUGCCAUCGGUGAACAGCAACAGCUGCACCAACAACCCCAUGACGGUGCUAUGAAUGUCGCAUGACCCAUAACCGGCCAGACCGAUCACCAGCGUUGCCUCUCUCUUUCUCAAACAGCCAUCGUCGCUCUCUCCGUCAUCGUCAACUCCUCCAGUCGGCGAACACCAACCAAUAAUCGACGCCUUCAGCCGCUAGACAGCCACAGUCGCUGCCUCUGAUGCAACCACCAGUCGCGAUUCAGCCUCCCCCUCCUCUCACCUGUAACGUUCUCGGCGGAAUUUAUGAAUAACGAAGUUUUUGAUGAACCCGAUUGUUUUCCGGUUUGAUUUCUCAAUACCUUAAAUUGCAUGUUUGUUUGCUUUGGUUGCAAAUCACCUAAAUCGGUCUCUUAGCUUUAAAAUUCGUGAUAUUUGAUUCUAAAUUUUUAUUCAGUUCGUUUAAUUAUGUGUUUAUGUUCGUCUCUAGAUUGAUAUACACGAAAAGCCCUAAAUUCUAUGGACUUUGAUUAUUCUCAAAUUUUCUAGUAGCUAAUCUUUCAUUAAUUUUUAUGAUUCCGAACCACUUUGAUUAUGGGUCGUUGACAAAUUUUGAUGCGUAAUUGUUGAUAUUGUACUAUUUUGAUUUCUAAUCAUGAUGAUAAAAAUGAGACUGAUUCAAUUAUGAAAUACUCUAAUUUGAUUAAUCUUUUUAUAAUCUUUAGUGAUUAAAAUAGCCUUAACAGAUCCUUUGUUUACCUCUACGAUUCUUACUCUCUUAUUUAUGAUAAUUUUUUAUGAUUCCUACUCUUCUAUUUAUGGUAAUUUUUUGAUAUGUUUGUUUUAAUUGUAAUUGAUUAAUGGUAUUGAUUUGCCUCUAUGAUUCUUACUCUCAUAUUUAUGAUAAUUUUAUUAUUUGUUUGAUUAAUUGUGAUUGAUUAAUGGUAUCGAUUUAAGAAAAGUAUCCUAUUUGGUUCAAUAACGGAUUUUCUUGCCUUCUUUUUGAACGGACGGUUAUGUCAUUAAUUUAUUAUAGCAAAAUUCUUUUCUUUUAAUUUGAUUUAAUUAGGCUAGUUAAGGCAAUGAUUAUUUUUUAACCUUUAAUAAUCAUUCUCUAUUCAAUAUAAAAAAGGGCAAUUCCUUUUAUUUUUUUUGAGAAUACAGAAUACUGACUUCUACACUCUUCUAACUUAAAGUGUUAAAGUUUUACUUGUUGCUUCUACUUUGAGACUGUCGGUUCUUGGUUGCUUUUACCUACUUUUGAAAGUUCGAUUUCUUUCGUUAUUGUGUUGUUAAUCGAUUAGUUUUCUCUAAUAAUGUAUUAAUUUCUUUAUAUAUUCUAUGUGACUAUGAUUUUAUUUUGAUUUGCGUGGGCUUGAUGUCAUAAGUCUUCUAUCCAUCUUUGUGUAUGUUUCGUGACUUAUUGCGUGUUCAUGCUAUUCUCUUUUGUCAAUGUGACAUGUUUUCUUUCUCUAUGAAAUGUUCUUUCCCACUAGAGUAUUGUUAUGUGUGAAUCUGAAAUAACUUUUGCGCUUUAGAACCCCUUCAGCAUGAGUCUACCUGGGAUCCUUGAGAUCCUUAGGAUCUCAACAUCAAUGAGGGUUGUUUAUGGGCUACCAAAAGCAUGUUUUGGAUUUUUGGAAUUAAUUUUGGUAUCUUUGCCAGGUUGGACGAGAAAGCAGGUGAUUCGGGAAACUUGUAGAGUUGUCGGGGGGUUUGUUUAAGGAUUGUCCCACUUAGUGCUUGUUUUUUAUUCAUUCUUGGUCUCUCUGUGUAAUAAUAAAAUUGUGUGACUGCAUAUGGGGGGCGAAGACUAUGUGAUUUAAAUAUUUUAUGUUCUCACUUAAGCAAGUAUGUAGUCUAAGAUUAAUAAUAAACUUAAUUAAUCGCCUAGAAGUUAUGUUUUAGGGUUUCUAAUUAAUUUUCAAUAUAAAAAGUUAUUUUUAAGCAUGUUUGUUUGAUGUCUAGCAUGUUUGGUUAGUUGUCACUCAUUUUUAAUCCUUUUUGCACAUUUAAUAAAUGUUUUUGCACAUUCAAAAUUAUUAUUCGGACACUCAAUAAAUUUCUACACUUUCAAAAUAAAUUUUUGCAUUUUUAAAUAUUUCUCUGCAUUUUCAAAAUAAUUUUCUGCAUUGUUUAUUUAGUUUCCUGCACUAUUUAAAUAUUUUUUUGCACUUUAAAAUAUUUUACUACACAAUUUAAAAUAAUUAUCUGCAUUGUGUAUUUAAUUUUCUACACUGCUUCAAAUAAUUUCUGCACUAUGUUAAAUAACUUCAGCACAACUUAAAAAAAUUCUGCACAGUUCAAACUUCAAACUCAUUUUUCUGAUUAAUUCACUAUACAGUUUUAUUAAUUUUCCUGCGCAACUUAUUCAUUUUUCUGAAUAUUUUAGUAAGUUUUUUUGCACUGCUUUAACUGUUAGCUUGUUUAAAUUUUUAAAUGUUAAUAAUUAUUUAUCACUUAGUAGCAUGUGUAUAAGUCUAAUUUUGUAAAAAUAAAUAAAUAUUUGUUUUGGCAUGUUAAUUACUUAACUAACCUUUAACUAAUCAAGAGGCUUGUUUGAAAUCAUUGUGUGCUACGUGCUAGUCCAACGUGCUUUGCUUUACGCACUUUGAGUCUAAUUAGGUAAACUUAAUUUUGUUUGUCUAGACCCUAAAUUCAAAUUAGAAAGGUCCAAUGCCUCUUGGACAUUAAGUUGGGACGGACAGAAAUUUUAGAAAACGCUAGUUUUAUCCGUUCUUUUAGAGCGUCACUAAGCUUAACAACCAGCCUAGGUGGAGGUGGGUAGACAUUCGGAGAUGAUGGUAACCCAACAUGUUUUGAUAAUGAAAAAUAAAAUGGUCACCCGAUAAUAACUCGACUUGUAAUACCCCAUACUUUUUUUAGCUCAGUUCAGCUCUUAGUUGUAUGUAUAAGAGGUUUAAAGCCUUAAAAAUUUCUCACUAAGUGUUAGGACUUAGUCAUUUUCAAAGCCCCAUAAAUUUUGAUAAUUUUAUUUUCGAUCUUUCCAACCUCGGAACAUUAAUUUGUAAGUUGAUUCAUGAUCGGGGUUAUCAAUAGUACAUCUCAGGUGUGUUUUGAAAUUUUUGGACGAGUGUAGGGGUGUGUUUGGAUCACCAAUACAGUAGCAGCACCAAGAUAAGCCCGCAAUGCGCCCUCCAGUGCACUACUAGGGUUGCCCACGACAGAGCCCACAACGCAUGGGUCAGUGCAGCGGUCCAGAGCCCACGACGCGUGCCCAUCGUCCGCCCCUUAUUUUUCCAGCUUUUUUUUUGUUUUUGCAAGGGCAAUUGAGUCUUUUUCCUUCACCCAAUUGGUCCAUAACAUGAGAUUAAGUGUCCCAAAAAUUCUCAAAAAGAAAAAGCAUCCUCUCUAAAAAAUAAACCCUAUCCUCUUCAAAAGAAACGAGGGAUUCAAGCUUAAUUUUCAAGAAAAUCAUCAAGAACCUUCACAAAUUCAUCAAUUAAGGUAUGUGAGAUUUUCAUCCAAGGAGCCUUUUCUCAUGGAGUCCAAGAAUUCAUCUUUGUAUUUUAAACUAUGAAAUUACAUGUUUAUGAUGAAUUAUCUCCAUGAAGUUUUUAUGAAUCUUGAUUAGAAAUUAUGUUUGCAAUCGUUUUUCAUAGGAAUUAACCCUUACACGUUGAAAUGAUGAUAUUUUCAUGUUAAAUCCUUGGUUCAUGGUUUUAUAAUUAAAGCUAUGUUAUUAUUACUACAUAGUUAAAUCAUUCCCAUGCUUUAACUCAUGACCCUCAUAUGUUUGACGAAAUGCCUAAGUAUUGAAUUUGGAACAAUGAUCCCUUUUUUAUGGUUUCAAAGCUCUCAUGUGUUCCCAUUGUUAUUCCAUUAAGUCCUGGAGGGUAAUGAACACCCGUUACUUAGCUGUUGACACAGUUUUAAUAAUUACAGAACGGUUUCAGAUAAACCAUGAGCAUUGUCAUUCAUUCAGUUAAUAUGAUCAGUUUUUAGUUCUGUUAAACAUAGUUCAGUCCAGAAAUCAGUGUUAGUUUAGUUAGGAGUAGGAUUUAGCACUGAGCGAAUCUAGGGAUGGGGGCUCACCCGCCACUUAGGACUGGGUCCUUAGUAGAAGUCCCUAAGUUUCAGAACUACGUAGCCAACGUAGAAUUAUGAGAUGUUACCCGCCAGAUUAGGACUGACAAUCUCAGAGAUGUCACCCGCUAGUUUAGGCUUAACAAUCUCUUAAGGGUUACCCGCCAGUUUAGGACUGACUCAUUAGUCUUUCAGGACAGUAGAUUAGUAGAUCCACACAAUCAUUGUUAGUACCCGUGGCACGGUACUAAUACCCUUUCAAGUUGGGUCACAGGUUGGACCCUGAUUAGCUCAGAUUGGGGCAUAUCGGUUAGAUAAUAUCUCCCGUAGUCUCAAUUCAGUAUUCAGUACAGAAUUCAGUUCAGGUUUGCUUGACCAUAGCAUACAGUUUAGCAGUUAUUCAGUUAUCAAAUUUCAAUAUUUCACUUUACAAAUUAUUUCAGUAUCAUGUUAUAUGCUUGGUCAUGCAUUCUCAGAUUUUACAGAUUUCACGUAUAUUAUGCAUUAGUUAUCUCAUGUUAUUCAGUUAGUCAGUAUUUCAUGCACAUGAACCUAUGCAUUUCAGCCUAACUUCAUCUCAUAUACCAGUACAUUCAAAGUACUGAUCGCAUACUUUCUUUGCGUUAUGAUGGCUUAUAUCAUAGGUUCGGACGCGCGAUUUCCUAACCGCGCUUAGAUAAGCUCAGCACUUCAGCAGCAGUCGCAAUAGUGAGUCCUCAUCUUUCGAGGACAAGUUUAUCUUUAUUUAGUAUCUCAAUAUUUCUCUAUUUUAGUCAGUUUAGAUUUAGUUGGGGGUUUGUCCAUCAACUCCUCAGUCAGUUAGUUAGAGACUUUUCAAACAUUCAAACAGUUAGUCAGUUUAUCAGUUGUUUUAUCAGUCUUUUCAGACGCUCAGAUUUAUAUUUAUUAGCAUUUCAGUAUUUUUAAACCUUAGGACUUUACUCAGUUGUUUCCGCAUAUGUUGUUCAUUAUCAGUUCUCUCAGUGCUCAUAUCAAGUACCAGCUUAUGGGUUAACUUGUGGUCACUUGUGACCAUAAGUACCGUUGUUACGAUUAGGGGUAAGCCUCGGGUCGUGACACGACUGCUAGCUAAUAAACCGGAUAAUGAUAAAUAAUUUGGGUGCUAAUCUUAAUAAAAUCAAAUAAAUUCUUUGUACAAUCUUACGAAUCUAUUUUUUUCUCUUUUCUUUACUUUAUAUGUAUUUGCUUGGGGUAGUUUGGAUUUUCUUAUUUAAUAUAAAUAUUUUGCUAUAAACUGUGGCCUUUCUGUCUCCUUGCUUGUCUAAUUUAUAUAUUUAUUUUAUCACUUAGAUAAGUAGUAUUUUAAAAGUAAUUGGAUUACAUGUUUGUUUAUUCAUUACUUUGCCACUUAGUAACAUUAAAUUAAUAAAAAUAAGUGACCUUUGUUUUAUCACAUAGAAUCCCUACGUAAAAUAUGAAUUCAUCUGAGAAUCAAAUUUGUGGACCUCGAAAGGUGCCUAACACCUUCCUUUCGAGAUAAUUUGAUCCCUUACCUGAAUUUCUGGUGAACUAGACAAAAUAAUAAAAGAGGUUCGUAGUUAGCCUAGAAUGGUGCCUUAACGCACCGUAAUUCGUUAGGUGGUGCUUCUUCACUCUUUAAUCCAUUUCAAAAAAAAUUGUCACGUCGAAUCCCAUUUUUCACGAGAAAAAUGAAGCACGACAAUCAGUACUCAUGAUUCAAUUACAAGAACAACUGGAGGAAUUAAGAAAAACUAAUAUUUUACCUGGAAUCCAACUUUGAAGGGAAUUAACUUGAAGAUUGAGAAAUCUUUAAGACUCAAUGGGUGGAAAGAACCCAUUGAUGAAACCCUGCAUACUUGGAGAUGGAAGCCUUGAUGAACUCUUGAAAAUUAGACUUAGAUAUUGAUGAACCCUAAUUUUUCCUUGGAGAUGAGAGAAUCACUUUUUUUCUCGUUAUGGAUUGAUUUUAAGACUUAAAGGUGAGUUGGGGAAAAACAACCUUAUAUUCUACCCUUGGAAAGCCUAAACGAUGUGGGUUAGGAGUUAAAAGAAUGAGAAAAGAUAAAAAAGCCCUUCUUAAAUCAUUCAUAAAAUUCUGAGAGACAAUCCUCAAGGCUCGGAUAGCGCCUCGUUAUGUUUGGUAGCGAGUCGUGGCCUGAGUUGUGACUUGAGGACCUAAGUUUUUGGGUCCUUCUGUUAUGACAACGACUCCCCUUCUGACGACUUGUUAGGUCUGAUAAUGAGUCGUUAUAAAGGGUCGUUUCCAAGGGCUGAGUUCUUGAUUUCUCACUGUUGUGACAAUGGGUCCACAUAGAACGACUCAUCUUGUCUGACAACGAGUCGUGUUCUGGACUCGUUGCCACUGGACUGAAUUUCUUGGUCACUUACUUCCAUGGCAACGAGUCUAGGCUGUGACUCGUUGUGUUUGACAAUGGGUUGUAGCCUGAGCUGUUGUCACUGGCAGUUUGACAGUGCCAUAGGAAAUUUUCCACAACUUUUUACUACGACCUCAGAUUAAGACGAGAACAGUGGCGUUGAAAAGCUAAUUUAAUGGCCUAUUUUUUGGUGUGUCUAGAGAUUAAAAACUUGGGGUAUUACGUACGCUUAUGAAAGUUGAGUAUGCAAUUUGGAUUCAGUCUAAACUUAUCCACCAAACUCGGUUAGACACAGUAACUUUAAGAUCGACUCUUUAUCCAUCUAUUUUUGUCUGAAGUGAAUUUAUUACUUCUUGAGAGGUAGCUUGACAAAGAAUGUGUUAUCAAAUAUCCAAAAAGUGCAUGACAUAUUUGACAUAUUUGAUGUUACAUAAAUAUUCGGUUGCACUUUGACUAAUAUGGCAUUAUUUAAUCUUGAAUAGAUUAAUUUUCUUCAAUUAAUAUGACUAUAGUUGAAAAAAUAAUUAAUUAUAUCUUGAAUUCUUAAACAUGCCAACUAUUUUGAAACAAAAUAUUUUAACAAAUAUAAAUUAAUUAUCUAAUAUGCCCUUAACUCUACAAUUUG
rnacentral:lncRNA from 1 species